rnacentral:rRNA from 1 species
AAACUGAUAACCGAAGCUGCGGAUGGGCGCGUAAGCGUCCGUGGUAGGGGAGCGUUUUGUAGGUCUGUGAAGGUGUCUCGUAAGGGAUGCUGGAGAUAUCAGAAGUGCGAAUGCUGACAUGAGUAGCGAUAAAGCGGGUGAAAAGCCCGCUCGCCGAAAGCCCAAGGUUUCCUACGCAACGUUCAUCGGCGUAGGGUGAGUCGGCCCCUAAGGCGAGGCUGAAAAGCGUAGUCGAUGGGAAACGGGUUAUAAUUCCCGUACUUUUAUGCAGUGCGAUGUGGGGACGGAGAAGGUUAGGUCAUCAGACUGUUGGAAUAGUCUGUUUAAGCCGGUAGGCUGGAGUGGUAGGCAAAUCCGCCGCUCCUUAAGG